ACAGUAAUAUGCGUUGUUGCACAGUAGCACACGGUAUUGCACCAAUUAUUGAUUCUUAAGUAAGAAGGCACUACUCAAUAAUUGUUACAGUAAUUAUUGUUUAGUAUUUUAUUUUAUUGAUUCAAUAAUUGCUGCGUUGAUAUUUUAUAUUACUGUUGUUUCAAUAAUUGUCACUACACAGUAUUUUCUAUUAUCGAAGCAAUAAUUCAUAUUAUCUGAAUAAUAUUAUUAGAAAACAUUAUUGGCAAUGUCUAG
rnacentral:lncRNA from 1 species